rnacentral:lncRNA from 1 species
AGGUGCCUGUCACGUUGUAUCAGCAUGUUUGUGUUCAUCUGUGUGCAUUUGUGGCUUCUUUUCAUUCUUCAUUGUUUCCUCGGCUGGUAAGUGUGCUGCACACUUGAUAAAGUAUGAUUAUUGUAAACUCCAGUCACCUCAACUUGUACAUUUUGUCCUUUGUUCAUUUGUGCAUUAAGAGUUAUUCUUGAUUCAUAUAAUACUAGAUAUACUAUUUAGCUAAAAUACUUGAUAAAACAUUCUGCAAUUUACACAGGGAGGCGUAAGAAGACCCUGUGAGAGGUGGAGCCUAUGAGAAGGGGUUAUUACCUAAUAUGCUAGUUAUGUUUCUGUUGCUAUAAUAAAAAGAAACAAGAAAGGAGCAGUUCGUUUUUGUUUGAAGAACUGUUAACACAGAGAGUACAUAUAAUGGCGGGAGGCAUGGCAUUAGGUGGCUAGAGCAGGAAGCUGAGAGAUCACAUCUCAACCUCACACAGGAAACAGCUCUUUGACAGUGGAGCAAGUCUGUAAACUCUCAGUGUCUCUCUCCAGUGGUGUACUUUAUCCAAGAAGGCUUCAUGUCCUAAAAGUGCCAUAACCUCCCUCGACUGUCUCUAACUGCCAGCCAAGUGUGUAAAUACUAAGCCUGUGGGACGGCUUCAUUCAAAUCACUGGACCUUUUCAUAAAACGUAAAUAGUAACAUGCAGUGCUUGGUCUGCUAGAGAUGGUUUUAUUUGUAAUGGAAUUAGAUUGGUCAAAAGAUUGAAAAUAUUUUAGGAAAAAUUGUCCUGUUGCUUGAAAGCUUUCAGAGGCGGUCUUUGUGGGUUACAAGGACUGAGUGAGCACACUCAAAAUUAGUUCUGUUCCCUCAGCUUAACACAGUGAGUAGCAUAUAUUAGGUGCUCAACAGAUAAAGAAAUGGCACUGCAGUUCUUUUAGAGUAUUAUGUAGAACAUGUACGGGGCUCCCCCCGAGGAACUUAUUACAAUAUGAUAGUGCUUCCUGAGUUAGUGUGAGAAAUAUGAUGUUUGUAUUUCAUGAGCAUCUGCCUAGUAAUAAAUUGAAGUGUUUUUUUUGUUUUGUUUUGUUUUGUUUUCCCAUAGGAUGCUGCUCUAUUGAAUGCUGUGCUUAGUACCAAUAUGAGUACCUCUUUGUUAGCGAUGGAUGUGUGGUGCUUCCUUGCUCGGUAAAAUCUCUCAGAAUUGGAUUGGGGUUGUGGUAGUGACCAACAAUAAAUACUUCUAAGUUCAUAGAAAAGUUGUUUUAAUCUUUUAAUAAGACUUUAAAAAUGAUUAGUUUGGAAACGUGUCUUUGUUCUGUUUUUUGUUUUUUUAUAUGUACAAAGUGAAUGCUGGGGCAGUUCUGUAUAGUAUAAUGUUCUUUGGUGAUGGCUAUCCAGAACAUGCCUAAUCUGAAAUCCAAUAUGUCUAAAAUCCAAAACUUUGAGCACUAAUGGUUAACAGUGAAAAGUUACAUUCCUUGAAACUAUUUAACUUUAUAUAUAUAUAUUUUUUUUCUUUAUAUACAUUUCAAAUGCUAUCCCGAAAGUUCCUUAUACCCUCCCUCCGCCCUGAAGCUAUUUAACUUCUAAGAGUAUUAGAAAUAUUAAAUAAAUAUUACCUUCAAGUUAUAUAUGUAGCCAAUUAUAAAAGAUAAGUUUAAAUAUUCUAAAAUAUGAUAAAUCUAAAUUCUAAAACACUUCUGGUAUAAGACAGUUCAGAUCCUUUAUCUGAACUGUAAUAGUUCACAUGUCCUCACCAGAGUGUUUCUGUCUCCUUGUUCUUCUGCCUAAUGUCACAGGUAUGGGACUGCUAAACUUGGUGCACACCAUGUCACCCUAGUGGCUCAUCUGGUAAGUAGAAAUAAAUGGCUUAAAACACUCGUUUUGUAUAUUUUCUUUGGAGAUAGAAUAUUUUUGGAUGUUAAUAAAAAUGAUAGAAAUAAUAGCUAAACUUAAUGCUAAUUAUUAUUAAAAGCUAAUUUAAUGCAGUGCUAAUACAAAAAUGUAAAAUCCCAGUGUCUAAAGUAUAGAAAUUUUCUCAUUUUCAGACUUUUAGAGUUCCACUCUUUGUUGGGGCAAAAAAAGACUAGUUCAAUUGGAAAAAAAUGUGUUUAAAAUAUAAUGUAAAGUGAAAGAGAAAAUGUGAUGUUGAUAGCUCUUUAAUGUAACUGAGGUCUCCUAUGAUUUUGUUGUAUUUUAGUCAGAAUGGUGUGAAAGGGAUUCAGUGAUCAUGAUUAGUGAUGU